ACUGUACAGUAGAGUUUGAUCAUGGCUCAGGACGAACGCUGGCGGCGUGCUUAACACAUGCAAGUCGAACGGUGAAGCCCUUCGGGGUGGAUCAGUGGCGAACGGGUGAGUAACACGUGGGCAAUCUGCCCUGCACUCUGGGACAAGCCCUGGAAACGGGGUCUAAUACCGGAUGUGACCAUCUUGGGCAUCCUUGGUGGUGUAAAGCUCCGGCGGUGCAGGAUGAGCCCGCGGCCUAUCAGCUUGUUGGUGGGGUAAUGGCCUACCAAGGCGACGACGGGUAGCCGGCCUGAGAGGGCGACCGGCCACACUGGGACUGAGACACGGCCCAGACUCCUACGGGAGGCAGCAGUGGGGAAUAUUGCACAAUGGGCGAAAGCCUGAUGCAGCGACGCCGCGUGAGGGAUGACGGCCUUCGGGUUGUAAACCUCUUUCAGCAGGGAAGAAGCGCAAGUGACGGUACCUGCAGAAGAAGCACCGGCUAACUACGUGCCAGCCGCCGCGGUAAU
rnacentral:rRNA from 1 species